rnacentral:rRNA from 1 species
AUUGAACGCUAGCGGGAUGCUUUACACAUGCAAGUCGAACGAGUGGCGGACGGGUGAGUAAUAUAUCGGAACGUGCCCAGUAGAGGGGGAUAACUACUCGAAAGAGUGGAUAAUACAGCAUACUAUUGGAGCGGCGGGUAACGGAUUAGCUAGUGGGGGGGGUAAAGGCUCACCAAGGCAACGAUCCGUAGCUGGUUUGAGAGGACGACCAGCCACACUGGUACUGAGACCCGGCCCAGACUCCUACGGGAGGCAGCAUUGGGGAAUUUUGGACAAUGGGGGAAACCCUGAGCCAGCCAUCCCGCGUGUAUGAGAAGGCCUUCGGGUUGUAAAGUACUUUUGGCAGAGAAGCGGUAUCUGCAGAAUAAGCACCGGCUAACUACGUGCCAGCCGCCGCGGUAAUAC